rnacentral:rRNA from 1 species
UACGUAAGGGGCAAGCGUUAUCCGGAUUUACUGGGUGUAACGGGAGCGUAGACGGGUAGGCAAGUUUGAAGUGAAAACCCAAGGCUUAACCAUGGAAUUGCUUUGAAAACUGCUUACCUAGAGUACUGGAGAGGUAAGUGGAAUUCCUAGUGUAGUAGUGAAAUGCGUAGAUAUUAGGAAGAACACCGGAGGCGAAGGCGGCUUACUGGACAGAAACUGACGUUGAGGCUCGAAAGCGUGGGGAGCAAAC